rnacentral:tRNA from 1 species
UUCCCAGAUCUGUGGCUUGAAAAGCCACCAUUAUUAGACUUUAAUUACAGGAAC